UACGUAGGGACCAAGCGUUGUUCGGAUUUACUGGGCGUAAAGGGCGCGUAGGCGGCCCCGCAAGUCACUUGUGAAAUCUCUGGGCUUAACCCAGAACGGCCAAGUGAAACUGCAGGGCUAGAGUGUAGAAGGGGCAAUCGGAAUUCUUGGUGUAGCGGUGAAAUGCGUAGAUAUCAGGAGGAACACCGAUGGCGAAGGCAGGUCUCUGGGCCAUAACUGACGCUGAGAAGCGAAAGCAUGGGGAGCGAACAGG
rnacentral:rRNA from 1 species